rnacentral:misc_RNA from 1 species
UCGCACUUUUCUUUCUCUUCGGGUUCAUCGUGGGAGCAGGACGUGUGUCGUCGCGCGUCUGAGCAAAUUUGCCUGAAACAAAAAAAAGAAGUGUUUUAAUCCUUUCGGUUUCUAGUUUGUAGUGCCGCAACAAAGUUGAAGAAAAAUCUCCCCUCCCCGAAGAAACGAGGAGAGAAAAAGUUUGUUUUAAAUUUAAACGAGCCAGAAAAGUGCAGUUUUUAACCCGCGAGACAACCGGCGCUCGUGUAGUUUUCCGCAAGAGUUUUAACGAGGAAAAAGUCAAAAAAGCAAAAUGGCCGAUCAGGACGACCAGAUGAACGGCAACGGCCAGGAUGUCGACCAGAACGGAGACCAGCAGGACAACGGAGCGAACGGAUCCGGGGACAGCGCACCGGUUCGCGAUGACGACAGAAAAUUAUUCGUUGGUGGACUUAGUUGGGAAACAUCAGACAAGGAACUGAAGGAACACUUUGGCCAGUACGGUGAUAUCGAGAGCAUAAACGUCAAGACUGACCCGAACACGGGCCGCUCGCGCGGCUUCGCGUUCAUCGUGUACAAGAGCGCGGACUCGAUCGACAAGGUCGUCGCCGCCGGCGACCACGUCAUCAACAACAAGAAGGUGGACCCGAAGAAGGCGAAGGCGCGCCACGGCAAGAUCUUUGUCGGCGGGCUCACCACCGAGAUCAGCGACGACGAGAUCAAGACGUUCUUCGGCCAGUUUGGCAAUAUUGUCGACGUCGAGAUGCCGUUCGACAAGCAGAAGAACCAGCGCAAGGGCUUCUGCUUCAUCACGUUCGACUCGGAGCAGGUCGUGAACGAGCUGCUCAAGACCCCGAAGCAGACCAUCUCCGGCAAGGAGGUGGACGUGAAGAAGGCCACCCCCAAGCCGGACAACAUGCAGAUGGGCGGUCCGAUGGGCGGCCGGGGUGGCAUGCGUGGGCCGCCGCGCGGAGGCAUGCGAGGUGGACGCGGGGGACCGGGUGGACCCAAAGGUUACGGACAAGGCUGGGGCAAUCAGGGCGGUUAUGGCGGCGGUGGCUACGGCGGCGGCGGCGGCCAGGGCGGAUACGGAUACGGUGACUAUUAUGGUGGCGAUUGGGGAUGGGGCGGUUACAACAGUUAUGAUUACUCCCACUACGAUGACUAUUACGGAGGUUACAACGAUGGCUACAACGGCGGUGGUGGUGGCGGAGGCGGCGGCGGCCGCCAGGGUGGUCCCCGCGGGAUCAAAGGUGCCGGCGGCUACCAGGGUGGCAAGCAGCGAGGUGGCGGCGGCGGUGGCAACCGUCAGCCCAGGCACACGCCGUACUAAGCCCGUGACUCUCCUUAAAUUACACAACACUCUAGAGUAGUAGGAACAACCACCCCCCACAAACACACACACAUACACAAAACACAAACAAAACAGAAAUGAAAACAAAACAAAAAAAAAACUAGCGUUUAAGCCCUGUAAUAAUUCCUAAAUUCGAGAUGAUCCAGUUAUAACAACAGUAACGUGAAAAAACACAGACAAACAGACUCACACCAACACACACACUAAUCUUCUGAGAAGGAAAGAGAGCGUAGCGUAAUGUGUCACCGCGCCCCCACCCACAAAAGCGACGUCAAAGUAGGCGGCGGCGGCGGCAGCGACCCCCUCUUCCUUCACGAUGGAUCUGUUCCGGCCACACACGCGCAGCACCAGCAAAACAGGGUGCAUCCAGGUUUCGGUUUGCAAACAACACACUCUUACAUUACUUACAACACUUAGAUUUGACUGACUGACUGACGCUGAAAGCGGUGUGAAGGGAAAAUUUUACUUAAACAAAAAGUUUGCAGCAGCAGCGCAGGAUAUCGAAGGCCACUCGAAAAGCGCGAGUGGUCCGACCUGGAGUAGUUUAUCGGAAGCGUUUUCGGUUUCCUUCUUGUGGCAUUUAUCGUUCCGUUUUCCACACAACUUCUUCCCCCGAAAGUUAGAGGCAGUGUAAUAAUACUAGUGUAAAACCAGAUUAAGAGAAGACAAAACAAACCACAUUUAAACGAGUUAGAUAUUACCCAUUAGAUCCUUUUCUCUCUCUAUUUUUUUUCAUCCCCACCCACCACCCACACAAACCAACAAAACCAUUAAUUUAUAUAUUUGUCGUAGCCAGUAAGCGAACAAAUGGAAUAUCCAAGCUAUUUACAUAUUUUAUGUAGACCGCGCUCUCAUCCCAAAACUCAGAAUCCUAACUGUAAUUGUAUUAUAUUUUUAGAAACAGCUGAAUAAAAAGCAGUCACAGUCUCCAAAUAUAA